rnacentral:rRNA from 1 species
AUUGAACGCUGGCGGCAGGCUUAACACAUGCAAGUCGAGCGAGCGGCGGACGGGUUAGUAAUGUCUGGGAAACUGCCUGAUGGAGGGGGAUAACUACUGGAAACGGUAGCUAAUACCGCAUACCAUCAGAUGUGCCCAGAUGGGAUUAGCUAGUAGGUGGGUUAAUGGCUCACGUAGGCGACGAUCCCUAGCUGGUCUGAGAGGAUGACCAGCCACCCUGGAACUGAGACACGGUCCAGACUCCUACAGGAGGCAGCAGUGGGGAAGAUGUCACAAUGGGCGCAAGCCUGAUGCAGCCAUGCCGCGUGUGUGAAGAAGGCCUGCGGGUUGUAAAGCACUUUCAGCGAGGAGGCGUUACUCGCAGAAGAAGCACCGGCUAACUCCGUGCCAGCAGCCGCGGUAAUUC